rnacentral:rRNA from 1 species
UACGAGGGGGGCAAAUGUUGUUCGGAAUCACUGGGCGUAAAGGGAGCGUAGGCGGGUUCUUAAGUAAGGUGUUUAAUCCCGGGGCCCAACCCCGGACCGGCACUUUAAACUGGGAAUCUUGAAUAGUGGAGAGGUCAGUGGAAUUGGGGGUGUAGCGGUGGAAUGCGUAGAGAUCCCCAAGAACACCAGUUGCGAAGGCGGCUGACUGGACACAUAUUGACGCUGAGGCUCGAAAGCAUGGGGAGCAAACAGGAUUAGAUACCCUGGUAGUCCAUGCCAUAAACGAUGAAUACUAGGUUUUGGGCCCGUCAACGGUCCAGAGCCGCAGCUAACGCGUUAAGUAUUCCGCCUGGGGAGUACGGUCGCAAGACUGAA